rnacentral:rRNA from 1 species
UCCGAAGUUAAGCGGCUUAAGGCGAGGUUAGUACUAAGGUGGGGGACCGCUUGGGAAGUCCUCGUGUUGACAACC